CUCUUUUCACGGAAUUUUAUUCUCAAUCGACUGCCCAAUCGAAUUUAUCGACGUGACUUUUAUCUAAUCUGAUGGAUGUCAUCAGACUUUCGACCAAUCUAAUCUUUCAUAAAUCGAGUUCGGAUAUUUCGCAGUUUUCGAUGUCAUUCUUUUCACGAUUAAGUAACUAAAAAUCAUUAGUGUUAAUGUACCGAUAAAAUUCCGAAGAAAUGGUCAACUAUGGUAACAAACUUUGUCCUCGUGAUCAAUGCGCAAUUAAAAAUUAUCUUUCAACUAGUAUUGUUAUAUAUCAUUCGAUAUAUUAUAAUUCGUAAAUAACAUAAUGUGAAUAUCUUUUAAUCAGAAGAAAGUGGAAUAGAAAGAAAGUAAAUAAAGAAAACUGAAUACAAAACGAUUAAGGAGAUACAAAAAAGAAAGGAAAAAUGGAAGAAUUCAUUUGAUUAACUUAAAACUUAAAAUGGAAAGGAAAAUUUUUCGCGAAAUCGCGAAACAUAGAAUCUAAACAAGCCGAAGCACGUGGAUAGGGCAACGUGAUGGCACGAUAGGUAAGUACUAAUAGAGUUACCGUGAUUAAGUAAUUAUCUUUCGAGCAACCGACAUUUCAAGACGAUAAGGAGGGAAAGCAGAGGAAUACGUAUGCUAUAGGGGUUUUGCGAUACACUUCUAUACGCUAUUGUUUAUUGUCCAUGUUGGAAAGAUAAACCUUUCACUUGCAUUCUCAUCUUGAACGAAGAGGAUUCUCUGAUCACGAGUAGAGAAGACAAUGCCCUCUGCGCUAUAAUCGGUGAAUUUCCACAGAUUGAUGAUGUGACGUAAAAGAAUGAAUUUUUUUUAUUUAAAUAAUUGAUAAUGUCAAUUUUCAAAAAAUUAUGUACAUACAUAUUUAAAUAAUAUUAUAAAAAUAUUUUAAUUAUAUAAUUAUAAUAUAUAUACUCAUGGCAACAGGAUGAAAAUAAUAUUCAACAUUUUUCAACUUACAUAAACUUUUCUUUGGAUAAAACAAGUUAUGAAAACGAAAUCACAAGAAAAUAGCUGUGCUUCUGUAAUAUGUAUACACAAGUGUCGAAUUAUUACGAACAUAACAUAGACUAAUGAAAAGUGAAUGUUGGAAGAAACGAACAUGCUAGUCAUGAAGAGAGAGAAAGAAAAAAAUAGAAACAAGAACUAAGAGAGAUAGAGAAAGAAGAGAGAGGAAAAUUGCGAUUCGUUCUAUUAGUUUAUAUUGUAUCGAACAAUAGAGGAAAUACGGGAAUAUCCUGUCCUGAAAAUUCAUGUCCCGAACGGAAGUUUGAGGGAGACCACGAAUGAGAUACGACGUCGACCAAGCUGUGUAAAUUGCUCACGCGACACGCGAUAAUUCGAACAGAGAAUCAUCAGAAUAGCAAUUAAUCGGCUUAACAAUCAUUCGUUAGCGGUAAUCUUGCAUAGAUAUAUGUAUAUUAGCGUUAGUAAAAAAUUGUUACAAACAUUCACAUAAAAUAAAAUAGAAUCUAAUGUGCGAUCUAGAAUGAAAAAAAACGUAGUUUUUAAAUGUUCAUUACGAAUGUAAAUGUAGAAAAUAAACAAUAUCUCUCAUUGUAA